GCUCAUUACAACAGUGAUA
rnacentral:misc_RNA from 1 species